GACGAACGCUGGCGGCGUGCUUAACACAUGCAAGUCGAACGGAAAGGCCCUGCUUUUGUGGGGUGCUCGAGUGGCGAACGGGUGAGUAACACGUGAGUAACCUGCCCUUGACUUUGGGAUAACUUCAGGAAACUGGGGCUAAUACCCGAUAGGAGCUCCUGCUGCAUGGUGGGGGUUGGAAAGUUUCGGCGGUUGGGGAUGGACUCGCGGCUUAUCAGCUUGUUGGUGGGGUAGUGGCUUACCAAGGCUUUGACGGGUAGCCGGCCUGAGAGGGUGACCGGCCACAUUGGGACUGAGAUACGGACCAGACUCCUACGGGAGGCAGCAGUGGGGAAUAUUGCACAAUGGGCGGAAGCCUGAUGCAGCAACGCCGCGUGCGGGAUGACGGCCUUCGGGUUGUAAACCGCUUUCGCCUGUGACGAAGCGUGAGUGACGGUAAUGGGUAAAGAAGCACCGGCUAACUACGUG
rnacentral:rRNA from 1 species